CCAAUAGCGUAUAUUAAAGUUGUUGCAGUUAAAAAGCUCGUAGUUGAAUUUCGGGAUCAAUAUGUCGGUCGUGCCUUCGGUACGUACUGGCAUCAUUGAUUUCUCCCUUCUGACGAACCACGAUGUCAUUAAUUUGGUGUCAUGGGGAGUCAGGACUGUUACUUUGAAAAAAUUAGAGUGUUUAGAGCAGGCUCACGCUUGAAUACAUUAGCAUGGAAUAUUGAAAUAGGACGUUUGACCCUAUUUUGUUGGUUUCUAGGAUCAACGUAAUGAUUAAUAGGGAUAGUUGGGGGCAUUAGUAUUCAAUUGUCAGAGGUGAAAUUCUUGGAUUUAUUGAAGACUAACUACUGCGAAAGCAUUUGCCAAGGAUGUUUUCAUUAAUCAAGAACGAAAGUUAGGGGAUCGAAGACGAUCAGAUACCGUCGUAGUCUUAACCAUAAACUAUGCCGACUAGGGAUCGGAUGAUGUUAAUUUUUUAAUGACUCAUUCGGCGCCUUGCG
rnacentral:rRNA from 1 species